GCUCAAAUUUAAAAUCUCUGCCCUUUGGGUAGCGAAUUGUAGUUUAUGAAAUUAUAUUCGUUGGUAUAAUUAUGGUUAAAAUCUCCUGGAACGAGGUAUCAAAGAAGGUGAUAAUCCUGUUUGAAGCCAUUAAUUAUAUUAACAUAUGUUUAUAAUUUCGAGAGUCGGGUUGUUUGGGAAUGCAACCUUAAUUGGGUGAUAAAUCUCAUCUAAAGCUAAAUAUCCGCAAGAGACCGAUAGCAUACAAGUACCGUGAGGGAAAGGUGAAAAGAACUCUGAACAGAGAGUUAAAAGUACUUGAAAUUGUUAACAGGGAAACGUUUUAACCCUUGGAAUGAUCUUAGUUAAAUCAGCUGUUAGAUUCCAAAAGAUGAAAGCAGUGCACUUUGGCUGGACAAACCAACGUUUAUUUUUAUGGGAUGAAACAUACUUUAAUGCGGUAGUAUUUUAACCUUCGGGUUAGACUAUGAAGCUUGAGGUAAAUAAUCUCAUGAAGAUAUAUAAUAAUCCUUGCCACAUGGCUGUGAUGUAAGAUUUAUUUUAGAUUAUUUUGGAAGACUAAUAAUUAGUGUUCUUUGGUGAUUUGGGAUAGAAUUUUACUAGCAAAAAGGAUGAAGUUGGAUAAGAGUUAAAGCGACCCGUCUUGAAACACGGACCAAGGAGUGUAACAUAUGUGCGAGUCUAAGAGUUUUUAAACUCCAAGGCAAAGUGAAAGCAUGAUGGUUUGAUAGGGUAACCUUGCAAAAUCGUUCAACCUGGAUAGUAAUUGAAGGGAUUGAAAAAUAGCAUUUAUGUUACGACCCGAAAGAUGGUGAACUAUACUUGGGAAGGACGAAGUCAGAGGAAACUCUGAUGGAGGUUCGAAGGGGUUCUGACGUGCAAAUCGAUCUUCAUACCUGAGUAUAGGGGCGAAAGACUAAUCGAACCAUCUAGUAGCUGGUUCCCUCCGAAGUUUCCCCCAGGAUAGCUGGAACUCAUUUCUGAUUAGUUUUAUCAGGUAAAGCGAAUGAUUAGAAGUUUUGGGGAUGAAACAUCCUCGGCUUAUUCUCAAACUUUAAAUAGGUAAGAUUAUUCAUUUACUUUAGUGAAUUGAAUAAUUGAAUAAAGAGUUCUUAGUGGGCCAUUUUUGGUAAGCAGAACUGGCGAUGUGGGAUGAACCAGACGUUGAGAUAAAGUGCCAAAGAUUUCGCUCAUCAGACACCAUAAAAGGUGUUAAUUCAUAUCGACAGUAGGACGGUGGCCAUGGAAGUCGGAAUCCGCUAAGGAGUGUGUAACAACUCACCUACCGAAUGAAUUAGCCCUGAAAAUGGAUGGCGCUUAAGCGAUACACUUAUACUUAACCCAUAAAAAAUUUGUGCAGUUUUUAUGGAGUAGGAGGGCGUAAAGAUUGAUUAGAAGCUUUAUUGUGAGAUAUAGUGAAUCUUUCUUUAGUGCAGAUCUUGGUGGUAGUAGCAAAUAUUCAAUAGAGAACAUUGAAGACUGAAGUGGAGAAGGGUUUCAUGGCAAUAUCAAUUAGCCAUGAGUUAGUCGAUCCUGAACGGAGGGUUAAUUCCUUAAAACACUAAGUAAUUAGUGAUUCCGUGAAAGGGAAGUAGGUUAAUAUUCCUACACCGGGUUAAGGGGAUUUAAUGAGGUAACUCAAAUGAUCUCAGAGACGCCAUUGUGAAAGUCAAGAAGAGUUCUCUUCUCUGUUUUACAAACUGUUGUACAGUUUACUGUGCAAUGUUAAAAUCCUUGGAAUUGAAUCAUUCAGAGAUAAGGAUUAAAGUUUGGUAGAGUAAAUCAUUUUUUGAUUUAUUUGGCUUUUUCACAAUGGUUCAUAAAAAUCUGAGGGAAAAAAUAUCCAUCUUAUCCGUUCGUACUCAUCACCGCAGCAGGUCUCCAAGGUUAGAAGCCUCUAGUUGACAGAAUAACGUUGGUAAGGGAAGUCGGCAAAUUAAAUUUGUAACUUAGGGAUAAAAAUUGGCUCUAAAGGCUGGGUAUCAGGGUCAUAUGUUGGAAUCUCUUAGGAAUCUUAUUUACGAUAAUCUAGCUUCGGUGGGGUUAUUGUGGAUGGGUGGAAUAAGGGUGGAUGGUGUAUGAUAAAUCUCGGUUUAUUUCUUGAUACAAUUAACAGCUAAUUUAGAACUGUUACUGAGUAGGGGAAUCCGACUGUUUAAUUAAAACAAAGCAUUGUGAUAGGCUUAAUUUGCUAUUAACACAAUGUGAUUUCUGCCCAGUGCUCUGAAUGUCAAAGUGAAGAAAUUCAAACAAGCGCGGGUAAACGGCGGGAGUAACUAUGACUCUCUUAAGGUAGC
rnacentral:rRNA from 1 species